rnacentral:tRNA from 6 species
GGAGGAAUGGCAGAGUGGUUGAAUGCGGCGGUCUUGAAAACCGUUGAGCCUUCGCGGGCUCCGGGGGUUCGAAUCCCUCUUCCUCCGCCA